rnacentral:rRNA from 1 species
UACGUAGGGGGCAAGCGUUAUCCGGAAUCAUUGGGCGUAAAGCGCGUGUAGGCGGUUCCGUAAGUCCGCUCUGAAAGCCCAGGGCUCAACCCUGGGAGGCGGGUGGAUACUACGGAACUGGAGUACGGAAGAGGAGAUUGGAAUUCCUGGUGUAGCGGUGGAAAUGCGCAGAUAUCAGGAGGAACACCAGAGUCGGAAGGCAGAUCUCUGGGCCGUAACUGACGCUGAGGAGCGAAAGCGUGGGGAGCGAACAGG